rnacentral:rRNA from 1 species
UACGUAGGGGGCAAGCGUUGUCCGGAUUUAUUGGGCGUAAAGAGCGUGUAGGCGGCCAUACAGGUCCGUUGUGAAAACUGGAGGCUUAACCUCCAGACGUCGAUGGAAACCGUAUGGCUAGAGUCCGGAAGAGGAGAGUGGAAUUCCUGGUGUAGCGGUGAAAUGCGCAGAUAUCAGGAAGAACACCCGUGGCGAAGGCGGCUCUCUGGGCCGGUACUGACGCUGAGACGCGAAAGCGUGGGGAGCGAACAGG